GACGAACGCUGGCGGCGCGCUUAACACAUGCAAGUCGAGCGAAGCGGCGGACGGGUGAGUAAUACGUGAGUAACCUGCCUUAGACAUUGGGAUAGCCUCGGGAAACCGGGAUUAAUACCAAAUGGUCUAAGAUGGACUCGCGUCCCAUUAGCUAGUUGGUGAGGUAACGGCCCACCAAGGCGACGAUGGGUAGCCGGCCUGAGAGGGUGAGCGGACACAUUGGAACUGAGAAACGGUCCAAACUCUACGGGAGGGAGCAGUGGGUGAUGUUGCACAAUGGAGGGAACUAUGAUGGAGCUAGGCCGCGUGAACGAAGAAGGCUUUCGAGAAGUAAAGUUCUUUUAUAUGGGAAGCGGUACCAUAAGAAAAAGCCCCGGCUAACUACGUGCCAGCAGCCGCGGUAAUAC
rnacentral:rRNA from 1 species